GAAACGGUAGCUCAACUGGAUAGAGCAUCCGGCUACGAACUGGAAGGCUACAGGUUCGAUUCCUGUCUGUUUCACCA
rnacentral:tRNA from 1 species